rnacentral:rRNA from 1 species
UACAGAGGUCUCAAGCGUUGUUCGGAUUCAUUGGGCGUAAAGGGUGCGUAGGUGGCGGGGUAAGUCAGGUGUGAAAUCUCGGAGCUCAACUCCGAAACUGCACUUGAUACUGCCUUGCUUGAGUACUGGAGAGGAGAUUGGAGUUUACGGUGUAGCGGUGAAAUGCGCAGAUAUCAGGAGGAACACCGGUGGCGAAGGCGGGUCUCUGGGCAGUAACUGACGCUGAGGAGCGAAAGCGUGGGGAGCGAACAGG